rnacentral:rRNA from 1 species
AUUGAACGCUGGCGGCAUGCCUUACACAUGCAAGUCGAACGGCAGCACGGGAGCAAUCCUGGUGGCGAGUGGCGAACGGGUGAGUAAUAUAUCGGAACGUGCCCAGUCGUGGGGGAUAACGUAGCGAAAGCUACGCUAAUACCGCAUACGAUCUAUGGAUGAAAGCGGGGGAUCGCAAGACCUCGCGCGAUUGGAGCGGCCGAUAUCAGAUUAGGUAGUUGGUGAGGUAAAGGCUCACCAAGCCGACGAUCUGUAGCUGGUCUGAGAGGACGACCAGCCACACUGGGACUGAGACACGGCCCAGACUCCUACGGGAGGCAGCAGUGGGGAAUUUUUGGGACAAUGGGCGGCAAGCCUGAUCCAGCAAUGCCGCGUGCAGGAUGAAGGCCUCGGUUGUUAACGUAGUAC